CAGGCCCAAUGCUUUUUCCUCUUGUUUCAGAAGCAACCACUCCCAGGGAUGCUCAUGACACUUGAUUUGAUGCAGGCUGACCGUUGCACAGGUCAUUUUAUUUACAGUGCAGCAUAUUCCAAAAGGACAAAACCAGCACAUGAUGAGACCAGACAUGAAGCUUCCCAUUCCAAGAGAUCUCAGCCAUUUCUCUCAGGCUCCUCACAGCUUUAACAGUGGUUAAGCCCACACAAAAGGAGAGAAGAGCUGAAGAAAUGAAGAUACCCAAAUGGUCUUUGCAAGUGGCAGCUGGGGACAAUUUGUUCUGAAUUGGGGGGAGGUGAUGGGCAG
ensembl:lncRNA